rnacentral:rRNA from 1 species
UACGUAGGGUGCAAGCGUUGUCCGGAAUUAUUGGGCGUAAAGAGCUCGUAGGCGGUCUGUCGCGUCUGCUGUGAAAACUCGGGGCUUAACCCCGGGCCUGCAGUGGGUACGGGCAGACUAGAGUGCGGUAGGGGAGACUGGAAUUCCUGGUGUAGCGGUGAAAUGCGCAGAGUAUCAGGAGGAACACCGGUGGCGAAGGCGGGUCUCUGGGCCGAUACUGACGCUGAGGAGCGAAAGCGUGGGGAGCGAACAGG